ensembl:snoRNA
AUUCUUUGUGGUUCAUAAGUACAAGUGGAUUUUCACCCCAUUAUGUGAGAUGUGCCUCCUUCAAACCGUGUUAUGACAUUGGCACUCUACCCAUCUGAUG